UACAGAGGUCCCAAGCGUUGUUCGGAUUCAUUGGGCGUAAAGGGUGCGUAGGCGGCGCGGUAAGUCGGGUGUGAAAUCUCGGAGCUUAACUCCGAAACUGCAUUCGCUACUGCCGUGCUUGAGGACUGGAGAGGAGACUGGAAUUCCCGGUGUAGCGGUGAAAUGCGCAGAUAUCGGGAGGAACACCGGUGGCGAAGGCGGUUCUCUGGGCCUUACCUGACGCUGAGGAGCGAAAGCGUGGGGAGCGAACAGG
rnacentral:rRNA from 1 species